rnacentral:rRNA from 1 species
GAUGAACGCUGGCGGCGUGCCUAAUACAUGCGAGUCGAGCGAACAGACGAGGAGCUUGCUCCUCUGACGUUAGCGGCGGACGGGUGAGUAACACGUGGAUAACCUACCUAUAAGACUGGGAUAACUUCGGGAAACCGGAGCUAAUACCGGAUAAUAUAUUGAACCGCAUGGUUCAAUAGUGAAAGACGGUUUUGCUGUCACUUAUAGAUGGAUCCGCGCCGCAUUAGCUAGUUGGUAAGGUAACGGCUUACCAAGGCAACGAUGCGUAGCCGACCUGAGAGGGUGAUCGCCCACACUGGAACUGAGACACGGUCCCGACUCCUACGGGAGGCAGCAGUAGGGAAUCUUCCGCAAUGGGCGAAAGCCUGACGGAGCAACGCCGCGUGAGUGAUGAAGGUCUUCGGAUCGUAAAACUCUGUUAUUAGGGAAGAACAAAUGUGUAAGUAACUAUGCACGUCUUGACGGUACCUAAUCAGAAAGCCACGGCUAACUACGUG